rnacentral:rRNA from 1 species
AGAAUCAACGCUGGCGGCGUGCCUAACACAUGCAAGUCGAACGAGAAAGGGGAGCAAUCCCUGAGUAAAGUGGCGACCGGGUGAGUAACACGUGACUAACCUACCCUCGAGUGUGGAAUAACAUCGGGAAACCGAUGCUAAUACCGCAUAACAUCGGCGCUUUUAAGAGAUGCCGAUCAAAGGAGCAAUCCGCUUGAGGAGGGGGUCGCGGCUGAUUAGCUAGUUGGCGGGGUAACGGCCCACCAAGGCGAAGAUCGGUAGCCGGCCUGAGAGGGGCGCGACGGACCGACGACCUGGAACGUGAAACACGGUCCAGACUCCUACGGAGGCAGCAGUGGGGAAUUUUGCGCAAUGGGGGAAACCCUGACGCAGCAACGCCGCGUGGAGGAUGAAGCCCCUUGGGGCGUAAACUCCUUUCGACCAAGACGAUAAUGACGGUACUGGUGGAAGAAGCACCGGCUAACUCUGUGCCAGCAGCCGC